rnacentral:rRNA from 1 species
UUCCGGUUGAUCCUGCCGGAGGUCAUUGCUAUUGGGGUCCGAUUUAGCCAUGCUAGUUGCACGAGUUCAUACUCGUGGCGAAAAGCUCAGUAACACGUGGCCAAACUACCCUACAGAGAACGAUAACCUCGGGAAACUGAGGCUAAUAGUUCAUACGGGAGUCAUGCUGGAAUGCCGACUCCCCGAAACGCUCAGGCGCUGUAGGAUGUGGCUGCGGCCGAUUAGGUAGACGGUGGGGUAACGGCCCACCGUGCCGAUAAUCGGUACGGGUUGUGAGAGCAAGAGCCCGGAGACGGAAUCUGAGACAAGAUUCCGGGCCCUACGGGGCGCAGCAGGCGCGAAACCUUUACACUGCACGCAAGUGCGAUAAGGGGACCCCAAGUGCGAGGGCAUAUAGUCCUCGCUUUUCACGACUGUAAGGCGGUCGUGGAAUAAGAGCUGGGCAAGACCGGUGCCAGCCGCCGCGGUAAUACCGGCAGCUCAAGUGAUGACCGAUAUUAUUGGGCCUAAAGCGUCCGUAGCCGGCCACGAAGGUUCAUCGGGAAAUCCGCCAGCUCAACUGGCGGGCGUCCGGUGAAAACCACGUGGCUUGGGACCGGAAGGCUCGAGGGGUACGUCCGGGGUAGGAGUGAAAUCCCGUAAUCCUGGACGGACCACCGAUGGCGAAAGCACCUCGAGAAGACGGAUCCGACGGUGAGGGACGAAAGCUAGGGUCUCGAACCGGAUUAGAUACCCGGGUAGUCCUAGCUGUAAACGAUGCUCGCUAGGUGUGGAACAGGCUACGAGCCUGUGCUGUGCCGUAGGGAAGCACGAGAACGAGCCGCCUGGGAAGUACGUCCGCAAGGAUGAAACUUAAGGAAUUG